rnacentral:rRNA from 1 species
GAUGAACGCUGGCGGCGUGCUUAACACAUGCAAGUCGAACGAUGAAGCCCAGCUUGCUGGGUGGAUUAGUGGCGAACGGGUGAGUAACACGUGAGCAACCUGCCCCUGACUCUGGGAUAAGCGCUGGAAACGGCGUCUAAUACUGGAUAUGUCCCGUCACCGCUUGGUGUGCGGGUGGAAAGAUUUUUCGGUUGGGGAUGGGCUCGCGGCCUAUCCGCUUGUUGGUGAGGUAAUGGCUCACCAAGGCGUCGACGGGUAGCCGGCCUGAGAGGGUGACCGGCGACACGGGGAAUGAGACACGGCCAAGGCUCCUUCGGGAGGAAGCAGUGGGGAAUAAUGCACAAUAGACGGAAGCCUGAUACAGAAACGCCGCGUGAGGGAUGACGGGCUUCGGGUUGUAAACCGCUUAGAGCAGGGAAGAAGCAAAAGUGAAGGUACCUGAAGAAAAAGCACCGGCUAAAUACGUG